GUCGGGCCUCCGGGCUGGCAGCCCCCGGUCUCCUGGGUUCCUUGGAGCUGUGUUUCUUAUGGUAAAACGCUCUCCUGAAGCUCGACUUUUUUUCUACAGAUUUCCUUCUGCAGUGUGGGGCCAGGUUUUCUAGACCCACCUCUUCCUCCUGGACUUGAGGUUGCUGUGGGGGAGAUGAGAGAAACUGAGUCGGGGCCCCUGACCUUGAGGAGAUCUCAGGCUUUUUGAGCUCCUCUUCUUGCUGGUGACCUGUGGCGUGGGGAGAAACAUCCAAAGCUCCAGCACCAUCCACUUUGAUGAGGAAGGAGUGGCAAUCAGAAUCUUCCCCACCUGGAAUAGAGACGAAAGCAAACGGGUCUGUGCUCCUGAAACUAGAGGAGUUGGCAGUAACAGCUAUUGUGCACUGAGCACUUUCCUUGUGGGCUGUGGCCACUCCAUGAGACAGUAACUAUUUAUCUUCAUUUUAUCCAUGAAAAAAGUUGAGGCUCAGCGAGGAAACCUGCCUCCCUGGGCCACACAGCUUGUGAACGGCGGCACUGAGAGUGGGCGAGUGGUUUUCCCUGGAGCGCUCAGCCGUGGUGCUGUUCUACCUCAAAGAAAUGUCACAGUGGGCCAGGCGUGGUGGCUCACACCUGUAAUCCCAGCAUGUUGGGGGGCCACGGCCCGUGGAUCACUUGAGUCUAGGA